AUACGGAGGGUGCGAGCGUUGUCCGGAAUCACUGGGCGUAAAGGGCGCGUAGGCGGCCCGUUAAGUGGCUGGUGAAAUCCCGGGGCUCAACUCCGGGGCUGCCGGUCAGACUGGCGAGCUAGAGCACGGUAGGGGCAGAUGGAAUUCCCGGUGUAGCGGUGGAAUGCGUAGAGAUCGGGAAGAAUACCAGUGGCGAAGGCGUUCUGCUGGGCCGUUGCUGACGCUGAGGCGCGACAGCGUGGGGAGCAAACAGG
rnacentral:rRNA from 1 species